UAGAAAAAGACCUAGACUAUUGUAUUCUUUUGUUGAUUCAAGAAUUAGUUGAAUGACUAGAAUCUAAUGAUAUCCUUAAUGGUUUGAAAUCAACUUAGAAAUUGGCCUCUAGCAGAAUGCACCAAUUAUCUAUGUUUGUUUCUCUGUUGGCAGAAAGACAUACGAUUUGGAGAGUGUUGAGAAGAUUAUGGACCAGAUUGUGAAAAGCCAUGAAAUUAUUCUUAAUGAGAUUUGGUUAAAAGGACUGACUAUGGUUAGUGUGAAAGAGAGAAGAUCCCAAAGGACAUGAUGGUGAAACAAGGAACAAUCAGAGGCAAAAAUAUAAGUUGGAGAGCAUCCAGAGGAUUAUGGACCAGAUUGUGAAAGGCCAUGAGAUUAUUCUUAAUUAGGACUGAUUCAAAGAACUGGCUAUGAUUAUCACGAGGAAGAGAAGAUCCGAAAGGACAUGGUGUGAAAUAAAGAGCAAUCAGAGAAAUCUACAAAGGACAAAGUUAUUGCUGCUACAAGAAAUAUUACUACCAAAAGGAACAUCAGAACUGUUGUUGAUGUUUGGGGAUUGUAUCUGUUUGUUAGUAAGAAGGACCAGUUGGCUUAACUUUGUAAUAAAGUUGAUAUAG
rnacentral:lncRNA from 1 species